AUCCAAGGCGAUUCCGUCUCCAAGGGACCUGUUCAUGCUCCUCUUCAGGAAAUUAGUAACUUAGAAUAAAAUCUGACAUGCCUUAGGUUGUUGGGGGGAAUGGGACGUUUGUUUCCUUUGCCUUCCUUUGGCUGCCUAUACAC